AGAAGUGCAAGGUACUUUCACAAGUUUGCUCUACAGGCUGUGCAUUUUGCAGUGUAUCUGUAAGCAAUGGCUGCCAUCUGAAAGAAGCUGGCAACUGUUGGUGAUGGAGCUUGUGGUAAGACAUGUUUAUUCACAGUCUUCAGCAAGGACAGUUUCCAAAGUAUGUGUUCCCACAGUGUUUGAGAACUAUGUGGCAGAUAUUGAAGUGGAUGGAAAGCAAGUAGAGUUGGCUUUGUGGGGCAUGGCUGGACAGGAAAAUUAUGAUCGCCUGAGGCCUCUCUCCUAUGCAGACACCGAUGUCAUACUGAUGUGUUUCUCCAUUGACAGCCCUGAUAGUUUAGAAAACAUCCCAGAAAAAUGGACGCCAGAAGUGAAGCAUUUCUGUCCCAUUGUACCCAUUAUCCUGGUUGGAAACAAGAAAGAUCUUUGGACUGAUGCGCACACAAGACAGGAGUUAGCCAAGAUGAAGCAGGAGCCAGUAAAAUCUGAAGAAGGCAGAGACAUGACAAACAGGAUUGGCACCUUUGGGUGCAUGGAGUGCUCAGCAAAGACCAAAGAUGGAGUAAGAGAGGUUUUGGAAAUAGCCACGAGAGCUGCUCUGCAAGCCAGAUGUGGGAAGCAAAAAUCUGGGUGCCUUGUCUGGUGAAACCUUGCUGCAAGCACAGCCCUCAUGUGGUUAAUUUUGAAGUGCUGUUUAUUAAUCUUAGUGUAUGAUUACUGGCCUUUUCCAUUUAUCUAUAAUUUACCUAAGAUUACAAAUCAGAAGUCAUCUUGCUAUCAGUAUUUAGAAGCCAGCAAU